rnacentral:rRNA from 1 species
GCAAGUCGAACGAGAAAGCCCGAUUUCGGUUGGGCGAGUAAAGUGGCGCACGGGUGAGUAACGCGUAGGUAACCUGCCCCUGUGUUCGGGAUAACAGUGCGAAAACGCUGCUAAUACCGGAUGUGGCCAAGAGACGGUGGUUUUUUGGUCAAAGUCGGCCUCUCAUAGAAGCUGACGCGCGGGGAUGGGCCUGCGUCCUAUCAGCUAGUUGGCAGGGUAACGGCCUACCAAGGCUUCGACGGGUAGCUAGUCUGAGAGGAUGAUCAGCCACACUGGCACUGAAACACGGGCCAGACUCCUACGGGAGGCAGCAGUGAGGAAUUUUGCGCAAUGGCCGCAAGGCUGACGCAGCAACGCCGCGUGGGUGAAGAAGGCCUUCGGGUCGUAAAGCCCUGUCAGGUGGGAAGAACGGCUGUGGGACGAAUAAUCCUGCAGAUUGACGGUACCACCAGAGGAAGCACCGGCUAACUCCGUGCCAGCAGCCGCGGUAAUACGGAGGGUGCAAGCGUUAUUCGGAAUUACUGGGCGUAAAGCGCGUGCAGGCGGGCGGACAAGUCUGAUGUGAAAGCCCCGGGCUCAACCUGGGAAGUGCAUUGGAAACUGUUCGUCUUGAGUUCUGGAGAGGAAGGGGGAAUUCCCGGUGUAGAGGUGAAAUUCGUAGAGAUCGGGAGGAAUACCAGUGGCGAAGGCGCCUUUCUGGACGGCAACUGACGCUGAGACGCGAAAGCGUGGGGAGCAAACAGGAUUAGAUACCCUGGUAGUCCACGCUGUAAACGAUGAGCACUAGGUGUAGCGGGUAAUCAUUCCUGCUGUGCCGCAGCUAACGCGUUAAGUGCUCCGCCUGGGGAUUACGGUCGCAGGGCUAAA